rnacentral:rRNA from 1 species
CAGUCGCCGCGGGAAUACGAAGGGGGCUAGCGUUGUUCGGAUUUACUGGGCGUAAAGCGCACGUAGGCGGACUUUUAAGUCAGGGGUGAAAUCCCGGGGCUCAACCCCGGAACUGCCUUUGAUACUGGAAGUCUUGAGUAUGGUAGAGGUGAGUGGAAUUCCGAGUGUAGAGGUGAAAUUCGUAGAUAUUCGGAGGAACACCAGUGGCGAAGGCGGCUCACUGGACCAUUACUGACGCUGAGGUGCGAAAGCGUGGGGAGCAAACAGGAUUAGAGACCCGAGUAGUCCCUGUCUCUUAUAC